rnacentral:lncRNA from 1 species
CGGAAAGACUAAUUUAGUUAUUUGAAUUGAACUUUGACCAUUUACACAAAAAUAAAGAGAUGGUUUGAACAACUGGCAAAAAGGGAUCUUCAAACAUCAAACAAGGUUUUUGAAUCGACCAACACAAAAUCCACAAACUAAGAUAACAUCAUUCAUUAGCUGCCCUAAUCAUCCCACCACUUAUCAUUCUCCCGUCGGUAACCUUCUUCAUCCGAGCUCCCAACUGGUGUUGGUUCGACAUCUCCACAUGGAGCUUACCCUAUGCAUGCGCAUCUCGCUGCCGCGAGUGAUGGGCAUAUACUUGGAGAAAAAUAAACAUAUCAUACUUGUGAGCACACCUUGGGAAGAUGUCGCUUCUAGCUGGAAUGUUCGUGCGUUGUCACGAGCCUUUUUUAUUACAUAUAUAAACAUAAUGGAUGUCAAAUUUUUCUUGUAUAGAAAAAGAUAGGCCACAACCAUUAGAAAGCAAUUGAAAUCCACUUCAUUCGCAUCUAUUUUGAUAAAGAAUUACAUUCAAUGAUGUAUACAUAAAGAGCAAUUAUUCAAAUAAGAAUUCAUGACAAACUAAGAUCUAUUUGAUGCGCUUAAGACAUUCCCGUAUAAUGUCAGGAAUGUUGUCCUUAGCUUCAUUCACACAGUACUUGAGGAAGUAUAAUACAACUUAUUUCUCACCUCCUAAGCAUCUUACACAAAAGUAAUAUAUAUGCUUAAAGGUUUCACAUACAAACCAAUUAUUUACUAUUUCACGAGAGGAUAAAAUCAAAAGCAAAAUGACCGGACAAAUCGUUGCAAAUUAAUAAUUUGUUAUCUUGAAUAUAGUGAUAAUAAAAUAAAUGAUUGUAUCCUGUAACAUUAAAAUAGAUCAAUCUACUUUUCUAUGCUCAUUGAAAUAUCAGCCGCUAAUAUAUGUUGCCUAAUAUAUCUAUCAUAAUUCCAGCCGGGUUGAGCUAUUUCGAGUGUGUCAUUGAAUUCCUUCUAAAAUAUGAAUAAUUUCAAUGCAGCUCCAAGAGUUAUAAUGUCUAAUGAUUGUGAUGUAGCAAGAGGGUCCAAGACAUAUAGGAGGCAUGUAUGUUUCUUGAUGGAGUAUAAGAAAGUGGCUGAAGAAUGUAUAUGGCAGCAAAAUCCACAACCAGUACAUAUUAGAAACCAUAAAAUUAUGACAAUAACGGAUAACCACCCAAACAUACCAAGUUGCAUGAGGAAUUAUUGUUGCCUACCCCAUGUAGAAUAUUCGUUUCUGAGGCCAGGCUUAUGUGCACCCAAUGAAGAGAAACAUCAUAAAAAAAUACUGCAAAAAUUUAAACAAAUCCCAUUUUUGUAUGAAAUAUAAUUUGCUGCGUGAUGUACAUUCCAAAUUUCAAAUAAUUCAAACAUAUGAGUAGAUCGCAGCAAAAAAGACAAAUUGGGUCAGAACAAUACAUGAACACAAUAAACUUUUUCUCAUACACCAAAUUUAUCUUUUUCUCAUACAUGAACAGUAAACAAUACAUGAACAAACAGUAAUCAAUAGUCCCACCUCGGCCCAUAACUGAAUAACUAACAAACAAGGUGGCAAAACAAAGGAUGGACUAUUGAAUCAACUUGUUGAUGUAAUUAUUUUUUAGUAGGACCCUUGAGGGCAUUUUAUUCUUUGGAGAGAAACUUACAGAAUUAACACGAAGAACCUGCACUUGUCCUCUUGACACCACUAAUAUAUUAAAUAGCUUGAGAAUAACCGGGAACAUACAUGUGUCCAUC